CCUACCAUGCAGUCGAGCGGAUGAGGGAGCUUGCUCCUGGAUUCAGCUCGCGGACGGGUGAGUAUGCCUAGGAAUCUGCCUGGUAGUGGGGGAUAACGUCCGGAAACGGGCGCUAAUACCGCAUACGUCCUGAGGGAGAAAGUGGGGGAUCUUCGGACCUCACGCUAUCAGAUGAGCCUAGGUCGGAUUAGCUAGUUGGUGGGGUAAAGGCCUACCAAGGCGACGAUCCGUAACUGGUCUGAGAGGAUGAUCAGUCACACUGGAACUGAGACACGGUCCAGACUCCUACGGGAGGCAGCAGUGGGGAAUAUUGGACAAUGGGCGAAAGCCUGAUCCAGCCAUGCCGCGUGUGUGAAGAAGGUCUUCGGAUUGUAAAGCACUUUAAGUUGGGAGGAAGGGCAGUAAGUUAAUACCUUGCUGUUUUGACGUUACCAACAGAAUAAGCACCGGCUAACUUCGUGCCAGCAGCCGCGGUAAUACGAAGGGUGCAAGCGUUAAUCGGAAUUACU
rnacentral:rRNA from 1 species